rnacentral:rRNA from 1 species
UAUAGAAUUUUAUAUUAACUUUACCUAGCGGUUAAUGCUGGUUUUUUGUUAAUAUUUGGUUGGGAGGAUUAUUAAAUUUAACAAACUUUAUAUCAUUAUAAACUUUGAUUUAAGAAAAUAUAAUGACCUUCAAUUUGAAAUAGUUAGAGUAAAUUACCUUAGGGAUAACAGCGUAAUAUUUUUUUAUAGACCUUAUAGAAAAAAAUGGUUGCGACCUCGAUGUUGAAUUAAGAUAAAUUUUAAAUGCAGGAGUUUAAUAAUUAAGUCUGU